UUCCUUUCUCCUAUUGUUCUACAGGCCUCUCCUGCGAUCAAAAUAAUCUUGAGAGUUGAGAGAGAGAGAGAGAGAGAGAGAGAAAUAGCGUGUGUUUGUUUGCUUUGUGCGAAGAGAUGGAAAGAUCAAUUGUUGCUGCAAUCACGAACAAUUUGAGGAUCUUGCAGCCCAGGGUUGCGAUCUUCUAGCCCGUGUAGAGAUAGGAAGGGAUUGGUACAAUAGGAAGGGAUCAUCGCCAUUGUUGAAGAUCCACCUCCCAGGUCCAGUUCCCUUCCCUCUAACUCAUGUAUAUUUGUACAUAUAGCUUCAGUUUUGUUUAUAUCGUUCUUCGUCAAUGGUGUGUUUGAUUUGUUUGGAAAAGCUGAGAAACUAUACAAAAUUCAUUCGAGUCUUUCAGUUUUGGGUUGUACAGAGAAAACCCAAAAGUGAGUUCUGUAUGUUAGUCAAUCAAGUUGAAUUUUUUGAUCCUCUGAGAAGAAUUAGUAAUAAUAUAAUGGACCUUUUUUUUUUGUUGGUUUAAUUUUGGACGUGGUGUAUAUUAAGGUUUCAGUUCUGUACAACAGUGUUUUAUUUUCGAUGUUGAGAUUAAGUGUCGAUUAGGGUUAAGUAGAAAAUUAGAGGCAGGAAACAGUACUAAUUAAGCUUUAGGUUUUAAGUAUGGAUAGUGAUUAAGGUUGUUUACUUUCAUUGCUGUUUUGUUUGGCCUCUUCAAUUCUCACCCAAAAAAGAAAAAAGCUUUUUUUUUUUUUUUUUUUUUCUGAAACUAUUACUAUGGUUUUCUUGCUGUUAUUUUGUGUACUCAUGGUAAUUAGGUAUUGUGUAGUGUUGUUCUAAGUUGGAGAUUUUGUGUAUCCAUGGUCGGCAAGCUCUUACCUAACAACAACAUCACUCAUUGCUAGGAUUUUGGUUUAUGAACUUUCUCUAUAUUUCCUUUGCUUGAUUCUGUUUUCAGCUUUAGUUGUACAUACUUUGUUGCUAAGCUUUGCAUUUGUAAUUUGGUGAAGACAUUGGGGAUUCAAAAUGUGUUUUUAACUUAACAUGAGCAUUGACUUUUGAGGCUUCAAGAAGAACUACAAGUACCUUUUGACGAGACUCACCCUGCAUCUUUCAGAGAUUAUUGUUCAAGCAAGGUGGGAGUCGAGCAACUUGGGAAUACCCAUUUGCUGUUGCUGGCAUAAACAUAUCAUUUAUGUUGAUUCAAUUGCUGGCUCUUGGGUCAGCAAGACCAAGGUGUCUUCCCGGGAUAAAUUUCUUGCACUUAUUAGGAGGUCAAGAAAUUUACACCUCACACUAUUAGGCGGUGAUGAUCGACUAUGUUUAAUAAUGUGAUAUUCAACCUCCUGCAUCUAAUACUUAUGAAAUGUAUGCAAAAGAUGAAGCUGCUUCUGAUGUAUUGUUCCGUAUAGCUUUUGACUUGGUCGAUGCUCAGUGGCUUGCUAUGAAUGCAUCCUGCAUGCAGUUUAAUAUGACUAACUUAUAGGGCUUUCAAUUCCUUCAAGAUGUUCUGCAAGCAACGCGGACGUAGUUGGAAAGAGAACCAUCUUUAGAAGAUAUCAAGAGUAUAUAAGAUUUACCAACUUAUAGUCUGUUGUACCAGUAGCUUUUUGGUAGUACAGAAAAACAUUAGCACUGUGCUUGGACUCGGAGAAAUUUCAAUGAAUUCAUAGGGUUACCAUGACAACAACGCUUUGCAUAAAACAAUGGGACAUCUUUUUCAUGGCCUCAUUUCCACUUUGAUAUCCGUUAUGAUUUUAUCUGAGUUCCCAUUGGAUUCAAUUUGGUAUUUUAACAUUUGCUAGUGGAUCUUAAUAGCAAGCAAAGUUUUCAGAGACACAGUUGGCUAAACUCAAGUACAUUUCGUGGUUCCGAUUCACAUCCCGCAGCAAAGCGCGGGCGCCGUUUCUAGUAUCAGCUAGAGUUCUUGGGGUUCCAGAAAAGGUCUAUUAAGGUAAUUAGUUUAGGUAUCCUAGUAUCAGUGCAUAGGAUGCUAUCCUUAAUUGGCCAAGGGAUUCCUCAAAAUGAAGAGAAACUUGGGCCACAAAGAGGACUACGUAUACAAGAAUGUACCAAUCUUGACCAUCAUUCCAGAGUGUAUUUACAAAAGCUACUUCAGCUAUGGGCAAGACACUUGGAACAAAAUUCUCAACCACAGCUAUGAUUUUUCCU
rnacentral:lncRNA from 1 species